GAAGAAGACAUUUUUCAACUAAGCCAAGAGUUCCCGGAACUCCUCGGGGCCAGCGUGGCCCCUCCCCACAUGCCAGCUGGCGCAGCCCUGGCUCUUUCUCCCGCUCGAAAGUCGGGCAGAGGAAAGAGGCAGUUCGGCCUCGAUUCCGGGCUGCCUCUCCUGCAGGGAAGACAGGCCGAGAGCGGGGACGAGCUCCUGCUCCGGCUCUCUCCCCCCCACCCCCGCUCGGGCGGAGGAAAGAGGUGCGGGAAGUUUGAGGGGGGGCGUUUGCAUAGAGCACUGGGGGACCUCCCCCACUGGUGGGGGGGCGGAGCCUGCUGCCCUUCCAGACUUUGCCGGGGUCUCCAGAGGCUCGGAAGUCCUCGGCAAAGGUGAUAGUGAUGUCAUUGUGACGUCACCGUCGCGCCCGCUAAAAUGCCCCCCUUCCCAGGAUCAUAGUCCGGCUUAGGACCUGCUUAGCACCGGGCCUGCUUGAAGUGGGAGUUUGUUAGCUUGGCGGCCGGCUCCUCCGGUGUUCUCCCGGCGCUUGGGGCAGCUCUCCGUUAACCCUAUGCCACAGUGGGUCUCUGUUGCUGUAUGCUUCAAUCUUACCCCUUUAAACAGCAGCUGCACUACUCAUAUUUCAGCUGUUUCCAUGUACUCGCUGUGCCAAUUGUCACGAUCCUUGGAAUGUGAACAUGCUGGGAAGUUUAACUGGCCAGUUUUUCAGUGACUUUGCUGUGUGACCCUAUGGAUGCAAGCACAGAUGUUGGAUUGUUACUUGUAAUCAACUUUACUGAGAAAUCUAUUGUUCGGAAUUCUUGGAUUGCUGGGAAGUGGGGGAAAGAGGAAAAGACAAUUCCCUACUUCCCAUUUACAGCAGGGGACUCAUUUAAGAUAAGAUGGAGCUGUUGUGUGAGCAUCAGCAGAUUCGGAUCCUGCUUGAUGGGUGUCAGCUCUGUGAUUUCACUCAUCGCGUGGUACCUAUGCGAAGGGUGACAAACUUGCAGCUAUUAGGAGAUCUCAAGCUUACCAAAGUAGCUUGAAAAAAAAUAAAGAACCCUCAUGCCAUUAUGGUAAACACA